rnacentral:rRNA from 1 species
GAUGAACGCUGGCGGCGUGCCUAAUACAUGCAAGUCGAGCGAACAGAUGAGGAGCUUGCUCCUCUGACGUUAGCGGCGGACGGGUGAGUAACACGUGGAUAACCUACCUAUAAGACUGGGAUAACUUCGGGAAACCGGAGCUAAUACCGGAUAAUCUAUUGAACCGUAUGGUUCAAUAGUGAAAGACGGUUUUGCUGUCACUUAUAGAUGGAUCCGCGCCGCAUUAGCUAGUUGGUAAGGUAACGGCUUACCAAGGCAACGAUGCGUAGCCGACCUGAGAGGGGGAUCGGCCACACUGGAACGUGGACACGGUCCAGACUCCUACGGGAGGCAGCAGUAGGGAAUCUUCCGCAAUGGGCGAAAGCCUGACGGAGCAACGCCGCGUGAGUGAUGAAGGUCUUCGGAUCGUAAAACUCUGUUAUUAGGGAAGAACAAAUGUGUAAGUAACUAUGCACGUCUUGACGGUACCUAAUCAGAAAGCCACGGCUAACUACGUG